AUGUCCGCCGCCGGCGUUUCCCGUUUGUCGCGGUCGGCCACCAGCGUCGUCGCCAAAGCGGUGAGCGGCGGCUUCCACCUGCUGCGCAUCGACGGCUACUCGCAGGCCAAGACGGUCCUCCCCGGCGAGAAGAUCUCCUCCAUGGGCUUCACCGUCGGCAGCGAGUCCUGGCGCAUGGACUACUACCCCAACGGCCGAGACGCCUCCGCGAGAUCCAACCACGCCUCUGUCUACAUCCAGCUCACCGACGACCGCACCCGGCGCCCCGUCCAGGCGUGGUACAAGUUCAGCCCGCUGGACCACGCCGGCAACACCGCGUACGAGCUCCCGGCCGAGACCGGCUCCUUCACCGGCAUCCCCGAACCCGAAGUCGACGACCAUUACUACCACCCCUUUUACUCCACCCGCCCGCGCAUGCGCGCCUUCAGGAGCCCUGCCGCUGCCGGCGACGAAGAAGGUCCGGGAUGCGGCCACGAGGAGUUCAUUGGGAGGGAAGAGCUGGAGCAUCUGAUCCGCGACGACUUCCUCGUGGUCCGGUGCGACGUCGGCCUUAGGGAGAUGACGUGCUCGCGUCUGGCAGCGGACGAGAUCGACAACUGGGAAGAUGAUGAAGGUGAUGAGGCGGAGGAGGGGUACUUCGGGGCUCCAACUUAUUAUCCUCCCCAUCCCGGACGGGGUCGACGCCGUCGUCAGCCGGACGACGCCGAGUACAUCCGGGCUAGCCGCGCCAACGACAACGGCUACACUGUCAUGGCACGAUUCAGCAUCUGCUUAUCUGCCAAGACAGGCGAGAGGUGCCAUCCUACAGCAGACAGUGGGGCCAGAUCCGCGCCUUUGCUCCCGGGGACGAACGGGGAUACAGCCGCUUCAUCGAGGCUGGCGCCUUGCACGGCUACCUGGGAGACCAGGAUCGAUUCAGAGUCAGAGUCAGGUGCAAUUAAUAUCCUCCUCUACGGCAUUUGCGCCGAACCCGCUCUCGCCCCGCGGCCCGUCAUCGUGGCACCGUCCGACCUGCACCGGCAGCCCCUUGCCCUCUUGAGGAGCGGACGGGGAGGGGACGUGGCGUUCUCGAUGCUCGCCGCUCGGUCCCCGGUCUUCAUGGCGGAGCUCUUCGGCCCAAUGCAAGCGGAGAACGGUCCUGUAGUGCGGGUAGACGACAUGGAGCCGAGUGUCUUCGAGGCCAUGCUCGAGUGCAUCUACAGCUAG
rnacentral:rRNA from 1 species